GACGAACGCUGGCGGCGUGCUUAACACAUGCAAGUCGAACGGAAAGGCCCUGCUUUUGUGGGGUGCUCGAGUGGCGAACGGGUGAGUAACACGUGAGUAACCUGCCCUUGACUUUGGGAUAACUUCAGGAAACUGGGGCUAAUACCGGAUAGGAGCUCCUGCUGCAUGGUGGGGGUUGGAAAGUUUCGGCGGUUGGGGAUGGACUCGCGGCUUAUCAGCUUGUUGGUGGGGUAGUGGCUUACCAAGGCUUUGACGGGUAGCCGGCCUGAGAGGGUGACCGGCCACAUUGGGACUGAGAUACGGCCCAGACUCCUACGGGAGGCAGCAGUGGGGAAUAUUGCACAAUGGGCGGAAGCGUGAUGCAGCAACGCCGCGUGCGGGAUAACGGCCUUCGGGUUGUAAACCGCUUUCGCCUGUGACGAAGCGUGAGUGACGGUAAUGGGUAAAGAAGCACCGGCUAACUACGUG
rnacentral:rRNA from 1 species